rnacentral:lncRNA from 1 species
ACACUGUAAUGAAGAAUAAAAAAUAAUUAGUGAUAUAAACUAACAUAGUCAGUUAAAGUGAAAUUGGAAUUUGACUUGUUUAAAUAAAACGUGAAUUUUGAACCUUCUAAUAGAAAAAGGGAUAUGACUGAAUACAUAUAGAAGAAUCGUGAUUAAUUAAUGAGAAUCACAAAUCUUAAAAAUUAUUGCUUGUAAAAAUAAUACUAUAUUUAGUUUUAUUACAUAAUACUUGAUCAUUGAAUUGGAUAAUAAAUUUGAUACUCCAUUAUUAAAUUAUUGAUUAACAAUAUGUGGAUAAAAUGUGUAUAGCAAUUUUUGCAAAACAGUUCCUCUCCUCACUAAGACCAACAGCUUAAUUAACUGGUUUAUCUCAGUAUCCAAUGGCAUCGUAACAAUUACAGUGUUUAUGUAUUGUGGCAGAAAAAGUAUACCAUGGUAACAAUUAAAUCCAUGUGGCACUUCACAUGGUUUAAACCAGACCACAGUUAAAGAUUAACCAAUGUAGUCUAUUGCCUUAAGUUUUCGUAACACAUGCAUGUGUGGUCAUAUGUUGGUUUAUCUUAACUCUUUUAAAUGUACAAGUCAAUGGAAGAUAAAUCUGUAGUACCACUCUUUAUCGUUUUACAGAAAGUAUUCAUUUUUCUCUUCUAGAUCAUGAACAUUCAAAUAGUGAAAAUUAGACUAUUUGAUCUUUAGUACAAUUUUAGUAUUUUAAAUGGUAUUUAUAUAAUUGUAUUUUUUUUAUAAAAUGAAAGAUAAAAAAUAAGUAAAAUCCUUAUAUAAAUUCGUGAUCUUUUAAAUUUUUGAAACUCUGGUUAAACUGUAAUAGAUUACAUGUAAUAGUAACAUAGCCAAAUUAUCUAGUUGUAAAAGAAAUAUCCAAGUUGUAAGUGAUUUAUUGGAGCUAUUUGGUAGGUUGAGACAGAUAUUCAUAAAGAUGCAUUAAGCAUUUGGUUGAAGGCCGAUACAUCAAUGAUAGAUAAAGCCAUUUUUAAUGCAAUUUCACAGUCAGUAAGCCAUCCAUUCGUUAUAAAUUAUGCUCUCCAAUCUCAAUCUGCUUCAUCCUUUCAUCUCUCACUUCCAACUCUGCCUUCUUCUUUUUCAUCUGCUGUUAUUGGUUGCCAUUUCCAAUGCAAAUUUUCAUCCAUCUCCAAGGUCCACUAGUCUGCUUCUGUUUGUUGUCUGUGUUUUUUGUGGUGAGAAGCUCCAGCAAUGAAUACCACAGGACGGUCCAGGUAGUUGGCCAAGGAGAAUGCGCAGACUGCAGCCAUAACAACAUUAAGACCAGUCAUGCUUUCUCAGGUACAUUUUCUUAUAAUAUGUCAGUAUAUGCUUAGUAUAAUAGCAAUGAUAUAUAUAUUUAUAUAUUCACAAAUCCAUUUAACCAUAUAACUUUGUUUAAUUCUUCAAUCAUUCAUUCAUAUAUUAUACAGUAAACUACUGGUUUUUACCUUUUAAUUAUGCUACUAGCCAGUAUGAAGCCUAAUUCUAUAAUAUAAGAAUCCUGUGCAUUACCUGUGUGUAGGACUACGUGUAGCGGUAAACUGUAAGUCACCUCAUGGACACUACAGAACGAG